rnacentral:rRNA from 1 species
CCUACGUGUGGCUGCAGUGAGGAAUAUUGGUCAAUGGGCGCGAGCCUGACCCAGCCAAGUAGCGUGAAGGAUGACUGCCCUACGGGUUGUAAACUUCUUUUAUACAGGAAUCAAGUGAGGCACGUGUGCCUUUUUGUAUUUACUUUAUGAAUAAGGAUCGGCUAACUCCGUGCCAGCAGCCGCGGUAAUACGGAGGAUCCGAGCGUUAUCCGGAUGUAUUGGGUUUAACGGGAGCGUAGAUGGGUUGUUAAGUCAGUUGUGAAAGUUUGCGGCUCAACCGUAAAAUUGCAAUUGAUACUGGCAGUCUUGAGUACAGUUGAGGUAGGCGGAAUUCGUGGUGUAGCGGUGAAAUGCUGAGAGAUGACGAAGAACUCCGAUUGCGAAGGCAGCUUACUAAACUGCCACUGACAUUGAUGCUCGAAAGUGUGGGUAGCAAACAGGAUUAGAUACCCCAGUAGUC